rnacentral:rRNA from 1 species
AUUGAACGCUGGCGGCAUGCCUUACACAUGCAAGUCGAACGGUAACAGGUCUUCGGAUGCUGACGAGUGGCGAACGGGUGAGUAAUACAUCGGAACGUGCCCGAGAGUGGGGGAUAACGAGGCGAAAGCUUUGCUAAUACCGCAUACGAUCUCAGGAUGAAAGAAGGGGACCGCAAGGCCUUGCGCUCACGGAGCGGCCGAUGGCAGAUUAGGUAGUUGGUGGGAUAAAAGCUUACCAAGCCGACGAUCUGUAGCUGGUCUGAGAGGACGACCAGCCACACUGGGACUGAGACACGGCCAAGACUCCUACGGGAGGCAGCAGUGGGGAAUUUUGGACAAUGGGCGCAAGCCUGAUCCAGCCAUGCCGCGUGCAGGAUGAAGGCCUUCGGGUCGUAAACUGCUUUUGUACGGAACGAAAAGACUCCUUCUAAUAAAGGGGGUCCAUGACGGUACCGUAAGAAUAAGCACCGGCUAACUACGUGCCAGCCGCCGCCGUAAAAC